rnacentral:lncRNA from 1 species
ACCCGGGCUCCGCUCUUGCCUUCUCCACACUUGUUUGGGUGAUCUGUGUUUGUAAACACUCUGGCGGACCAGAGGGAAGUCCGUCCCCCAAUGCUGGUGGACCGUGGAAUUCGGCUGUGUCCUGAGGCUACCCCAGAGACCCCACGCCGAGUCCGUCCCGGAGCGCGUCUCGGUGGCCGCCGCGCCGUGCGACUGGAGGGAUGCUAACGUGGAGCGAGCGCCGUGUCAGCCCCGGCGUGCGUGCGUGUGUGGGAGCGCGCGUGUGUUUCCCUGACACGGGGAACAGUUAUGAAUCGGGGGUGUGUGUUUGCCUCCAGAGACCUGGCAAGGUGCGGAACCCUCCAGAAGUGCGGUCAAGCGGCGUCAGCGGUGGCGGCAGCGGAGACGGCGAGCCAGGAACCGCCCCCCGCGUCCCCAACUUCCCGGUGAUGCGGCGGAACCCCCGGAAAAAGUUUGCAAACUUCCAGCGGGCGCGGCGAGGACGCCGGGUCACCUAGGGGGCGGAUGGACGGGCGCGCGGGGGGCUCGCUCCCUCCCCGGUGCUGAGCCUGCUGCUGCCACCUCUCCCGCAGGGCUGCCGGCCCCAGGUGGUGGGCGCGCGCGCCCUGGGAGGGGACGUCGCUCUUGGAGGGCACUUUGCUUUCACUCCGGGCGCGGAGGGCUGGAGAGUGGCGAGGCUCUUCUCGCCUUCAUUCCUCCAGCCACCUCUUGCCUCCGUCCGGUUCUCGUUGGCAUCAUUACCUCUUCUCCGCUGCUGCCCCAAAUGACAGCUCCCGCUUUUGCCGCGGCGGCGCGGUGGCAGUUCCCAGGAUACGGCGGCGGCGAAGCCCUCUUCUCCAGGCAGAUUCUUCAAGGAAUCGCUUAAAACUUUUCACGACUGUCUUAGAGGGGCAAGACGCACGAAGCAACCAAAGAGAUGUUUUUUCCCCGUCGGCUGCAUCUCGCUUUUCUUUUGCUAUAGGUUUAUUGGGGGGGGGGGUGCUAAUCUGGUAGAUGAAGCCCCCGAUCUUGAUCUUGUCCACUCCUCCCUAACUUUCCUUGAACGGGUGCCGCCCCCACUUGAGGCUGGUACAGGGCCGGGAACUCAAGUGGGUCUCUUGUGUAUUUCGUUGUCAGAGCCCGCAGAGUGUAUGAUUUUUAUUUUUCCCUCCCUCUCUGACAUGUGUCAAGGAAUAAAGGCUGGAGACAGGUCCAUUACGUCAUUCUGCAGGCCAGUAAGUGUUUGAUUAACAGCUUCAGAUACUCAAGGGUUAGGGGCUUAGAAGUGCUGACAAAGCAACUAUGCUUUCCAUCCCCAGCCCCCACCAUACUCGUACAAUCGCCGAUUCCCUGGGCAUCUUUAUUACCCUCUCCCUCUGGACCCCUCCUUCUCCGCCCGCUCUCUCCCGCCCAUACCGUUAUCACUCUGGCCCCGCCUCCGCCUUUUACUGCUUUCCCUGGGGCGGUCACAGUCCCUGGAGUGUGGGUGAGAGCUUCUGGUGGCUGAGGGGGGCACAGUACCUGAUCUGCGGGCACACAAGCUGCCCUUUUCUAUUAUUUAAGAAAGGCGCUAGCGAGCCCUCUCCUCUAGGGCAAAAAUAACUUAGUCCUGAUAGAAAAGGCAUCUCAGGAAAUGUUUAGAGACGCUACGGUGGAUAAUACCACGUCCCUGUGUUGACUUAGGAAAACAACACACCCACAGCAAACAAAGUACUUAAUUUUACAUAACGCCUUCCUCUUUCCUUCCAGCAGUUAGCCGGAGGGGGAUGGCGAGGUUGUGCUGACUAAAUCAAAUUUAUCCGAAAGGCUCAAGAUUAAACGUUUCAUUUCCAAAGUGAGGGAAUGUGAGUCUUGGAACCCGAAUACUAUACAAUAAAUUGGGGCGUGUGUUACUUUCUUAAUCUUAACCUUAAGUUUCUUUAUUUAAAGAGGAAGUUAAGUAUGGAAGUCACUGAAUCGAGCCAGAAUCUCCGUAUCUGGCAGUUGAAAUAAAAAUACUGUUUGUGACACGUUUAAGGGAUAAAAGUAAAAAGAUCUCCGAGGGGUGGGGGUGCGGGGGUGCAGCAGGAGUCAAAUAGAAGAUUUCCUAACAGGAUUUUGGAUGGAGGAGGGCAGAGAGUUUCAGGGCUCUCUGAUUUGGAGUUGGUGAAAGUUAAAUAAAGGAAAAUUUAU